rnacentral:rRNA from 1 species
UACGUAGGGGGCAAGCGUUGUCCGGAAUCAUUGGGCGUAAAGAGCGUGUAGGCGGCCAGAAAAGUCCGCUGUGAAAACUCGAGGCUCAACUUCGAGCUGUCGGUGGAAACUUUCUGGCUAGAGUCCGGAAGAGGAGAAUGGAAUUCCUGGUGUAGCGGUGAAAUGCGCAGAUAUCAGGAGGAACACCAGUGGCGAAGGCGCCGCUCUGGGCCGUAACUGACGCUGAGGAGCGAAAGCGUGGGGAGCGAACAGG